rnacentral:rRNA from 1 species
AAAGNCAUUGGCUCAACCAAUGUAUGCUUUGGAAACUGUUAGACUUGAGUGCAGAAGGGGAGAGUGGAAUUCCAUGUGUAGCGGUGAAAUGCGUAGAUAUAUGGAGGAACACCGGUGGCGAAAGCGGCUCUCUGGUCUGUCACUGACGCUGAGGCUCGAAAGCGUGGGUAGCGAACAGGAUUAGAUACCCUGGUAGUCCACGCCGUAAACGAUGAGUGCUAGGUGUUAGGUCCUUUCCGGGACUUAGUGCCGCAGCUAACGCAAUAAGCACUCCGCCUGGGGAGUACGACCGCAAGGUUGAAACUCAAAGGAAUUGACGGGGGCCCGCACAAGCGGUGGAGCAUGUGGUUUAAUUCGAAGCAACGCGAAGAACCUUACCAGGUCUUGACAUCCCGAUGCCCGCUCUAGAGAUAGAGUUUUUCUUCGGAACAUCGGAGACAGGUGGUGCAUGGUUGUCGUCAGCUCGUGUCGUGAGAUGUUGGGUUAAGUCCCGCAACGAGCGCAACCCUUAUUGUUAGUUGCCAUCAUUGAGUUGGGCACUCUAGCGAGACUGCCGGUAAUAAACCGGAGGAAGGUGGGGAUGACGUCAAAUCAUCAUGCCCCUUAUGACCUGGGCUACACACGUGCUACAAUGGUUGGUACAACGAGUCGCAAGCCGGUGACGGCAAGCUAAUUUCUGAAAGCCAAUCUCAGUUCGGAUUGUAGGCUGCAACUCGCCUACAUGAAGUCGGAAUCGCUAGUAAUCGCGGAUCAGCACGCCGCGGUGAAUACGUUCCCGGGCCUUGUACACACCGCCCGUCACACCACGAGAGUUUGUAACACCCAAAGUCGGUGAGGUAACCAUAUAGGAGCCA